CUUGGCACAACCUGAUACAAAAACAGUAAACCGGGUCCACUGUCAACCACAACGGCACCCAACAGUCCGGAACAGUCUAUAGACUACUUUAAAAAUAAGCUCGGCAUCCCAGCACGAGCGUAAAUGCAUUCUAUACUAUUCUGAAUAUCCACUGCCCACCAACUGCGGCGAUACAAAUAAACUACUGCUCCUAGAGCUAAAUCCGAUAGUUUCAGAAAAUGACAGUGUAGAAUCAAUAGUUUUCUCCUAAGUCAAUUCCAAAUCC
rnacentral:lncRNA from 1 species